CACCAACCCCGACGCCGACCCCUAGGGCUAAGCCCUCGACCCCCGCAAGAUCCAGGACAACUUCGAGUUCAUAUAAUGUAGGAGGAUAGUUUGAUAUAGCAGUGCUCAUGGGAUCUCCCUGAAGAGGUGAAGAAGGAACUUGAAGAUCCUCAUAUUAGGUACAGUUUUGGAUGGAGUCGUGGAAAAGAGAGGCUGCAAUCUGAUAAGCAAUGCUCUAGUGGGAGUCGACAGAAAAGACUUGAUGAGGAAGCUAUCAAAAUUUAUUUAUGAGGAAGAGAAAGCUCUUGAGGGAGGCCAAGAGUCGGUUGAGAGAAAAAGAAGUCUCACGUUUAGUUCGGCCACCAUCUCUUAUCUGCAAAGCGAAGAACUCAGCAGAUUGCAAGACUGACGCCGAUGAUGCCGAAUGAA
rnacentral:sRNA from 1 species